rnacentral:rRNA from 1 species
GUCCACGCCGUAAACGAUGAUAACUAGCUGUCAGGGCCAUGGGCUUUUGGUGGCGCAGCUAACGCAUUAAGUUAUCCGCCUGGGGAGUACGGCCGCAAGGUUAAACUCAAAGAAAUUGACGGGGCCUGCACAAGCGGUGGAGCAUGUGGUUUAAUUCGAAGCAACGCGCAGAACCUUACCAGCGUUUGACAUCCUGAUCGCGGAUUAGAGAGAUCUUUCCUUCAGUUCGGCUGGAUCAGUGACAGGUGCUGCAUGGCUGUCGU